UGGGAAUCUUGCGCAAUGCGCGAAAGCGUGACGCAGCAACGCCGCGUGGGGGAAGAAGGUUUUCGGAUUGUAAACCCCUUUCAGGAAGGACGAAGGUUCGGCAGUUAAUAGCUGACCGGACUGACGGUACUUCCACAAGAAGGUCCGGCUAACUACGUGCCAGCAGCCGCGGUAAUACGUAGGGACCUAGCGUUGUCCGGAAUCAUUGGGCGUAAAGCGCGCGUAGGCGGCCCGGUAAGUCCGUUGUAAAAGUCGAAGGCUCAACCUUCGAAAGCCGAUGGAUACUGCCGGGCUAGAGUCCGGAAGAGGCGAGUAGAAUUCCUGGUGUAGCGGUGGAAUGCGCAGAUAUCAGGAGGAAUACCCAUAGCGAAGGCAGCUCGCUGGGACGGUACUGACGCUGAGGCGCGAAAGCGUGGGGAGCGAACAGGAUUAGAUACCCUGGUAGUCCACGCCGUAAACGAUGGGCACUAGGUGUGGGAGGUGUCGACUCCUCCCGUGCCGACGCUAACGC
rnacentral:rRNA from 1 species